GACGUAGGGGGCCAGCGUUGCUCGGAAUUACUGGGCGUAAAGGGUCCGUAGGCGGUGCGGCAAGUCGGGAGUGAAAUCCUGGGGCUUAACUCCAGGGCUGCUUCCGAAACUGCUGUGCUAGAGUGCGAGAGAGGCGAGUGGAAUUGCGGGUGUAGCGGUGAAAUGCGUAGAUAUCCGCAGGAACACCAGUGGCGAAAGCGGCUCGCUGGAUCGCAACUGACGCUGAGGGACGAAAGCUAGGGGAG
rnacentral:rRNA from 1 species